GACGGAGGAGGCAAGCGUUAUCCGGAAUGAUUGGGCGUAAAGGGUCUGUAGGUGGUAGCUCAAGUCUGCUGUCAAAGGUCAGGGCUUAACUCUGAAAAGGCAGUGGAAACUGAGGAACUAGAGUGCGGUAGGGGUAGAGGGAAUUCCCGGUGUAGCGGUGAAAUGCGUAGAGAUCGGGAAGAACACCAGUGGCGAAAGCGCUCUACUGGGCCUGCACUGACACUGAAAGACGAAAGCUAGGGGAGCGAAUGGGAUUAGAUACCCCAGUAGUCCUAGCCGUAAACGAUGGAGACUAGGUGUAGCCCGUAUCGACCCGGGCUGUACCGGAGCUAACGCGUUAAGUCUCCCGCCUGGGGAGUACGCACGCAAGUGUGAA
rnacentral:rRNA from 1 species